GGCGAGUUAGCAAAGCGGUUAUGCAGUGGACUGCAACUCCAUUCAGACCGGUUCGACUCCGGUACUCGCCUCCA
rnacentral:tRNA from 1 species